AAACGAGUUGAGCUGGGUGCCGUGUAUCAGGAGCAUGCAGGCGGGGGAAAAGGAAAAAAAACAGCACUCAGGUCGUUUCAGGCGAGAGCUCAAAACAUUUUGGCCGAGGAGUCACCCAGUUGUCUUCCCACACCUGCAGACAGAUCACUGGAGCAAAAUGAAAACAAUGUGGCUCCGUCUCAUGGAGGUAAUUCUGCUCUAGACCGCACCACCGGCAGCCCGUUACCUCCCCUGACUCAAGACGAAGGUGCAGGCACAUUAAAAAAAACCAGUGUUUCACCUCGAAACAUGUCCCAGUACAGGAAUGUGUUCAAUGAGCGCGCUAGGACGGGCUUCUGCUACUGGCUUGUGGAGAAGAGUCCAACAUGUAAAGGAUGCAGCUUGGGUGCAUAUAAAACCUUUCUGGGAUUACCAAAAGUUUGAAGAAACAGUUCACCAGACCUCUUCUAAAGAUGCCCACAUUAGUUUGAAAAGCUGAGCUUGCACUUACUUGAAAAUCUGUAAAGAAGUAUUAUCAGAAACACACAUACUUCUGGAAAUUUGUUUAACUUUCUUAUUUUUUUCUGCACACGUAAUGAGGUAUGGCGAAUUACAAAAUUUUAUUUUCAAAAGAGACUUGAUAUAUAGCCUACUCAAGUUCUCUUAGCAAAACAUCUUUAUUUUGUUUUUAGCAUAAGUAAUAAUGAUAAUGGCAAAUUUAAAUUUAAUAAGUUAAGCCUCACCUCUCAUCACCUUCACAAGUUGAGUGAAAAUCUUGUAUAUUCCCUUGUGCUAUAAACGCUGUAUUCGUCUUUUUUAUGGUUGACUUUGUCUUUAGUUUCAAUUCAUUCAGAAAUGCCUCUUAAGUGAAUAUACAGAAUACAGCUGAUUUUUGCACACACUCUUUAGAGCUUGUUUUACAUUUUUGGAAGGUUUAAAUGAAAAAAACAAAAUUAAAAAUGUUUAAUUCACUGUGUCACAA
ensembl:lncRNA